rnacentral:rRNA from 1 species
CUACGGGUCGCUGCAGUGGGGAAUAUUGCACAAUGGGCGCAAGCCUGAUGCAGCCAUGCCGCGUGUAUGAAGAAGGCCUUCGGGUUGUAAAGUACUUUCAGCGGGGAGGAAGGUAGUAAAGUUAAUACCUUUGCUCAUUGACGUUACCCGCAGAAGAAGCACCGGCUAACUCCGUGCCAGCAGCCGCGGUAAUACGGAGGGUGCAAGCGUUAAUCGGAAUUACUGGGCGUAAAGCGCACGCAGGCGGUUUGUUAAGUCAGAUGUGAAAUCCCCGGGCUCAACCUGGGAACUGCAUCUGAUACUGGCAAGCUUGAGUCUCGUAGAAGGGGGUAGAAUUACAGGUGUAGCGGUGAAAUGCGUAGAGAUCUGGAGGAAUACCGGUGGCGAAGGCGGCCCCCUGGACGAAGACUGACGCUCAGGUGCGAAAGCGUGGGGAGCAAACAGGAUUAGAUACCCUUGUAGUC